UUUAUCAAAAACAUCGCCUCUUGUAACCAAGAAAUAAGAGGUCCCGCCUGCCCUGUGACUAUAAGUUUAACGGCCGCGGUAUUUUGACCGUGCGAAGGUAGCGCAAUCACUUGUCUUUUAAAUGAAGACCUGUAUGAAUGGCAUAACGAGGGCUUAGCUGUCUCCUUUUUCCAGUCAAUGAAAUUGAUCUCCCCGUGCAGAAGCGGGGAUAAAUACAUAAGACGAGAAGACCCUAUGGAGCUUUAGACACUAAAGUGGAUCAUGUCAAUGACCCCAAAACAAAGGAUUGAACCAAAUGGAACCCACCCUGAUGUCUUUGGUUGGGGCGACCGCGGGGAACUAAGUAACCCCCAUGUGGAAUGGGAGCACCCCUCCUACAGCUGAGAGUUACAACUCUAAUAAACAGAAUUUCUGACCAAAAAGAUCCGGCAAAGCCGAUCAACGGACCUAGUUACCCUAGGGAUAACAGCGCAAUCCUCUUUUAGAGCCCAUAUCGACAAGGGGGUUUACGACCUCGAUGUUGGAUCAGGACAUCCUAAUGGUGCAGCCGCUAUUAAGGGUUCGUUUGUUCAACGAUUAAAGUCCUACGUGAUCUGAGUUC
rnacentral:rRNA from 1 species